AAGGCGAGGCCGAAAGGCGUAGUCGAUGGGAAACAGGUUAAUAUUCCUGUACCUGGUGUUACUGCGAAGGGGGGACGGAGAAGGCUAUGUUGGCCGGGCGACGGUUGUCCCGGUUUAAGCGUGUAGGUGUGUGUUCCAGGAAAAUCCGGUUCACUUUAACACUGAGGCGUGACGACGAGGCACUACGGUGCUGAAGCAACAAAUGCCCUGCUUCCAGGAAAAGCCUCUAAGCCUCAGGUAACAUCAGAUCGUACCCGAAACCGACACAGGUGGUCAGGUAGAGAAUAC
rnacentral:rRNA from 1 species